UUCAAAUCAUGAAUGUCAGAACUAACGGGUCUCUGCUCAUCCACUGCUGGAUCACAGCAGUACUGAUCCUCCUGCUCCUUGGCUCUGGUGCAUUUGCAGACAGCCAGGUGAGAACGUCUGGUAACAUCACAGCAAAGAUUGGUGAGGCGGUAGCCAUGUCUUGUAAGGAACCUGAAGGCGAGACGGUGACUCAGGUUGAAUGGAGGUUUGGAGGCUGCAACGGGCAGAAGAUUCUGGUUUAUAACACCGAAAACCCAGUUGCCCCUGAGAAGGACUAUAUCAACCGUGUCUCUGACGUGACAAGUAAUGGAUACACGUUAUUAAAGGCACAGAACAAGGAUGCUGGUACAUACUGCUGUUCUCUGUCCACCUUCCCCUCUGGGACUAAGACGGGCCUAAUUUAUUUGAAUUUCAGGAAGAACAAACCAGACAGUGAAACUCCUCUCGUAAACAUUGUGUACAUUGUGUGUGGGAUUCUGGGAGUACUGACGCUGGGAGGGUUAAUAACAGGACUACUGCUCUGUAAGAGUUGUAGAACAUCAGUCCAGGACCCGGUCCACGUGGCAGUUCAUCCAGGCAGGCAUCCACACCACCCUCCCUCCAUCCUCCAGAGAAGCCAGGCCCAUCGUGCCCCACCAUCAAAGAGGAUCAGUGAGGUUGAGGACGUGGAGGAGGACGACAGCAUGGACUACUUGAAUGUCACACCUUUUCGACUCCCCAGAAUUCCAUCAACUGCCUCCUCUGCAUCAAGAAGUUAAUAGAUAGAACAGACUCUACCCUAAUACACACGAAAUGUCAUGAAGACAAAGAUUAAAUAAUACACACACAAAUCAAAUACAAAGACAAAUACACUCUCAUAUACUGAAUUUAAUUCACCCAGACUUUAUCAUACACUGAAUAUAAUACACACAGACUUUAUCAUACACUGAAUAUAAUACACACAGACUUAAUCAUACACUGAAUAUAAUACACACAGACUUAAUCAUACACUGAAU
ensembl:lncRNA